GAUCAUGGCUCAGGAUGAACGCUAGCUACAGGCUUAACACAUGCAAGUCGAGGGGCAGCAUCAUCAAAGCUUGCUUUGAUGGAUGGCGUCCGGCGCACGGGUGAGUAACACGUAUCCAACCUGCCGACAACACUGGGAUAGCCUUUCGAAAGGAAGAUUAAUACCGGAUGGCAUAAUUAUUCCGCAUGGGAUAAUUAUUAAAGAAUUUCGGUUGUCGAUGGGGAUGCGUUCCA
rnacentral:rRNA from 1 species